rnacentral:rRNA from 1 species
UGCAAGUCGAACGCAGUAGCAAUACUGAGUGGCAAACGGGUGAGUAUAAUGUGGGAAUCUGCCUUUUGGUCUGGAAUAACACGAGGAAACUUGUGCUAAUACCGGAUAAGCCCUAACGGGGAAAGUUUUAAUGCCGAAAGAUGAGCCCGCACUUGAUUAGCUAGUUGGUAAGGUAAAAGCUUACCAAGGCAACGAUCAAUAGCUGUUCUUAGAGGAAGACCAGCCACAUUGGGACUGAGACACGGCCCAGACUCCUACGGGAGGCAGCAGUGGGGAAUCUUGCACAAUGGGGGAAACCCUGAUGCAGCGAUGCCGCGUGAGUGAAGAAGGCCCUUGGGUUGUAAAACUCUUUCGUCGGGGAAGAAAAUGACUGUACCCGAAUAAGAAGGUCCGGCUAACUUCGUGCCAGCAGCCGCGGUAAUACGAAGGGACCUAGCGUAGUUCGGAAUUACUGGGCUUAAAGAGCUCGUAGGUGGUUAAAAAAGUUGAUGGUGAAAUCCCAAGGCUCAACCUUGGAACUGCCAUCAAAACUUUUUAGCUAGAGUGUGAUAGAGGUAAGUGGAAUUUCUAGUGUAGAGGUGAAAUUCGUAGAUAUUAGAAAGAACACCAAAUGCGAAGGCAACUUACUGGGUCACUACUGACACUGAGGAGCGAAAGCAUGGGUAGCGAAGAGGAUUAGAUACCCUCGUAGUCCAUGCCGUAAACGAUGUGUGCUAGACGUUGGAAAUAUAUUUUUCAGUGUCGCAGCGAAAGCAUUAAGCACACCGCCUGGGGAGUACGACCGCAAGGUUAAAACUCAAAU